CGUUACUGUACGCGUAGCCUACUCAGCAAAAUGGUGGCAAUACCAAGGUCGAGGAAGUAACUGGAUAUGUAGUGAGCAACUGAGUGAGCAGGACCAAAGUGACAACUGGACAUACAAAUUUAUUGCAUUCAUCAGCUACUGAACAUUUGAUGGUAGACGCAUUUCUUCGAGUGCUGGACAUUUUCGUUAUUAUGAUAACUUGCGUUUGCAAUCCUGCGUGUCAAAGGUGACCGGCCAUCAAAGUGCAUCAUGCACCAAGAAAAGACAGAAAAUAUUUAAGCGUGAGACAACAGGCUACUACAAGGCCAACGAUACGUCCACUAUCGUAUCAGAUUUCGUCUUGAACAAGUACCGUGACAUGUAUAUGUCUGGACACACUGUUGAAUCGAGUACUUACUUCUCCAACCGACUGCGCGAAAAGGGGACAAAACAAUAUGGCGAAAACUGACUUCGGUGAGUUUAGUCAAAAUUCGAUCAUGUGACCAGGGAAUUAUUUUGUCACACUGGAUGGAGCAAAGUCUGUGGGUGCUAAUAUCAUCGAGUUUUGGCAGACGAAUAUAAAUAUUUGUCUCACAAGAAACAAUCUGUAGUAUUUCCCGAUUUAAAAUGCUUUUAAAGAUUUUUUUUGUAAAUGUUCUGGACCUAAUAAGCUGUGCUGUUGUGUUAUGCAUUUCUGGACUUGUGUUAACAUGUAAUUAGGGACGACUGGACGUAUGUGUAGUUUACACAAUAUUUUCUUAAAUGACCACGAAUUUCAUCAAGAAAAAGCGAAUAAAUAUUUGAACCCUUGACCUUUAUCUAAAAACAUUUUGCGUUUUUCUAAACAAUUUCAAAUAACGAACCUAAAUGCUGAAAACUAUAAUGAGAAAAUGUUAUGUACUUUAAUGAUCAACCUAAAACAAACGCCAUCGAUUGGCAUUUGAAGACUGUUGCAAAAAAAUUAUGUUUAAAAUGUUUUGGACAUUAAUACUUUUAUGUUGCACUACGCAUGUAACCGUUCUACGUUCACGAUACUGUAUCUUGUGAUUCAAAUUAAUUUUUUGUGAUUAAUUUUCCACUUUUUUAAAAUAUUUAUGAGGUAUGCCCAUUAUACCAAACUCAUUACUUGUAUAAUUGUGAUAAGUGUUUUGAAUUGUUGCUAUUAUCCGUUCGAGCUGUUUGAAAAUGUUUAUGUCAUCCUGUUAUCCAAAACUCUAGACUAGAUUAUAUUUCAUCACCAAUAAAACAUUUUCACAUGGUUGUAAAUCAUUUUACCCUAAAAGGGGAAAAUUUCGAAUCUGAUAUAAGCUUUAUCAUUCUUUCUUUUUGAUUUAAUCAUCCCAAUUGGGUUUCUUGGUAUUUAUACCAAAAUCUAUAAUUAUUAUUUUCAAUCACAUGACAUUUCGUUAAUGACGUCAUAAAUAUUUCAAAAAAAUUAUCAAUAUAAAAUUCAUACAUUUAAAAUGAUAGGCACUUCAUAGUGGGUCGCAAUUGCGCUGGUGCGAACUAUAAAAACAAGAGGCGGGAAAUUGUUGCUUUAGGGGACUGCGAGAACAUUAGACUCCGUCGCCCUAUGGAAACAUGUUUUUACUGCAAAUUUUCAAUUGCCGUGCCUUUUACACCUGGUUCGGAAUACAAAUUAUAUGUUCUUCUCACUGAACAAACAUGGUACACCACAAAAUAGAUUCAAAUGGUUCGAUUUUGCCAUGUGCCACGUUAUAUCGACAAUAAUUACAUGAUACCUUUUAAUUAUAGAUACCAGAAAAUGCUCAAUUAAUCAGGACUUAUGAGGAUUUGGGUAUCCAUAUUAGAUCCAAACGUUUUGUUGGAGUUUUUCGAAUUUUAUUCAAUAUAUUAAAUAUAUAUACAACAAUAAAAAUAUGAAUAUAAUUUCUUCGGGUAUCAUGUACUCGGCAAAUACAACAAGGGGUCGUUUAAGUGGAGAGUCAGAAACAACAAAAGUGUUCCGUGAAGUGCACUCCCAUCCAAUCAAUAGUAUCAAAAGUCAAAUUUGAAGAAGUAUUAUUAUCAUUAAAUAUGAUUUAUUAAUAUUUGUGAUUAAUGACAUAGUUUUUUUUUCAAAGAAUUUUUGUGAUAAAUUCAAGUAUGUUGAAAUAUUGAAGGGAUUGGAAAUUCGAUUUAACGAUAAAAAAUUAUAGAAGGAAUAAAUUUUCCUCAUGCAAGGUUUCAUACAUUCAAUUU